rnacentral:rRNA from 1 species
GUCGAGCGGAUGAAGGGAGCUUGCUCCUGGAUUCAGCGGCGGACGGGUGAGUAAUGCCUAGGAAUCUGCCUGGUAGUGGGGGAUAACGUCCGGAAACGGGCGCUAAUACCGCAUACGUCCUGAGGGAGAAAGUGGGGGAUCUUCGGACCUCACGCUAUCAGAUGAGCCUAGGUCGGAUUAGCUAGUUGGUGGGGUAAAGGCCUACCAAGGCGACGAUCCGUAACUGGUCUGGGAGGAUGAUCAGUCACACUGGAACUGAGACACGGUCCAGACUCCUACGGGAGGCAGCAGUGGGGAAUAUUGGACAAUGGGCGAAAGCCUGAUCCAGCCAUGCCGCGUGUGUGAAGAAGGUCUUCGGAUUGUAAAGCACUUUAAGUUGGGAGGAAGGGCAGUAAGUUAAUACCUUGCUGUUUUGACGUUACCAACAGAAUAAGCACCGGCUAACUUCGUGUCAGCAGCCGCGGUAAUACGAAGGGUGCAAGCGUUAAUCGGAAUUACUGGGCGUAAAGCGCGCGUAGGUGGUUCAGCAAGUUGGAUGUGAAAUCCCCGGGCUCAACCUGGGAACUGCAUCCAAAACUACUGAGCUAGAGUACGGUAGAGGGUGGUGGAAUUUCCUGUGUAGCGGUGAAAUGCGUAGAUAUAGGAAGGAACACCAGUGGCGAAGGCGACCACCUGGACUGAUACUGACACUGAGGUGCGAAAGCGUGGGGAGCAAACAGGAUUAGAUACCCUGGUAGUCCACGCCGUAAACGAUGUCGACUAGCCGUUGGGAUCCUUGAGAUCUUAGUGGCGCAGCUAACGCGAUAAGU